GGUAAGAUGGCUGAGAGUUAAGCGGUGGAUUGUAGCCCCAUAAACAGAGGUUAGAACCCUCUUUUUACCA
rnacentral:tRNA from 1 species